rnacentral:rRNA from 1 species
UGGCGAAUUUUGGACAAUGGGGGCAACCCUGAUCCAGCCAUUCCGCGUGAGUGAAGAAGGCCUUCGGGUUGUAAAGCUCUUUCGCAAGGGAAGAAAACUCGAUCUCUAAUAUAGGUCGAGGCUGACGGUACCUUGAUAAGAAGCACCGGCUAACUACGUG